GUCUACAGCCAUGCUACCCUGAACAAGCCCAAUCCUGUCUGAGAUCAGAAGCUAAGCAGGGUCGGGACUGGUUAGUACUUAGAUAAGAGACCACCUAGGAAGACCAGGUGCUGUAGGCG
rnacentral:rRNA from 1 species